rnacentral:rRNA from 1 species
UGGGGAAUAUUGGACAAUGGGGGCAACCCUGAUCCAGCCAUGCCGCGUGAGUGAUGAAGGCCCUAGGGUUGUAAAGCUCUUUUGUGCGGGAAGAUAAUGACGGUACCGCAAGAAUAAGCCCCGGCUAACUUCGUGCCAGCAGCCGCGGUAAUACGAAGGGGGCUAGCGUUGCUCGGAAUCACUGGGCGUAAAGGGUGCGUAGGCGGGUCUUUAAGUCAGGGGUGAAAUCCUGGAGCUCAACUCCAGAACUGCCUUUGAUACUGAAGAUCUUGAGUACGGGAGAGGUGAGUGGAACUGCGAGUGUAGAGGUGAAAUUCGUAGAUAUUCGCAAGAACACCAGUGGCGAAGGCGGCUCACUGGCCCAUAACUGACGCUGAGGCACGAAAGCGUGGGGAGCAAACAGG